rnacentral:rRNA from 1 species
GACGUGGGAUCCUAGCGUUGUUCGGAAUUAUUGGGCGUAAAGCGGGUGUAGGUGGCUUUGUAAGUCAGGUGUGAAAUCCCAGGGCUCAACCCUGGACGUGCAUUUGAUACUGCGAAGCUUGAGUGUAGGAGAGGAUAGUAGAAUUCCUGGUGUAGUGGUGAAAUACGUAGAUAUCGGGAGGAACACCAGUGGCGAAGGCGGUUGCCUGGGGCUUUGCUGACGCUGAUGCGCGAAAGCGUGGGGAGCGAUCCGG